GACGAACGCUGGCGGCGUGCCUAAUACAUGCAAGUAGAACGCACAGUUUAUACCGUAGCUUGCUACACCAUAGACUGUGAGUUGCGAACGGGUGAGUAACGCGUAGGUAACCUGCCUGGUAGCGGGGGAUAACUAUUGGAAACGAUAGCUAAUACCGCAUAAUAUUAAUUAUUGCAUGAUAAUUAAUUGAAAGGUGCAAUUGCACCACUACCAGAUGGACCUGCGUUGUAUUAGCUAGUAGGUGAGGUAACGGUUCACCUAGGCGACGAUACAUAGCCGACCUGAGAGGGUGAUCGGCCACACUGGGACUGAGACACGGCCCAGACUCCUACGGGAGGCAGCAGUAGGGAAUCUUCGGCAAUGGACGAAAGUCUGACCGAGCAACGCCGCGUGAGUGAAGAAGGUUUUCGGAUCGUAAAGCUCUGUUGUAAGAGAAGAACGGGUGUGAGAGUGGAAAGUUCACACUGUGACGGUAUCUUACCAGAAAGGGACGGCUAACUACGUG
rnacentral:rRNA from 1 species